GGUUCCAUAGCUUGGUGGUUAGAGUACUGCUCUUGUAAGUGAAGGGGUGUGAGUUCAAUCCUCACUGCAGCCU